rnacentral:rRNA from 1 species
ACGUUAGCGGCGGACGGGUGAGUAACACGUGGGUAACCUACCUAUAAGACUGGGAUAACUUCGGGAAACCGGAGCUAAUACCGGAUAAUAUUUCGAACCGCAUGGUUCGAUAGUGAAAGAUGGUUUUGCUAUCACUUAUAGAUGGACCCGCGCCGUAUUAGCUAGUUGGUAAGGUAACGGCUUACCAAGGCGACGAUACGUAGCCGACCUGAGAGGGUGAUCGGCCACACUGGAACUGAGACACGGUCCAGACUCCUACGGGAGGCAGCAGAC